rnacentral:lncRNA from 1 species
GAUCCUUGCAUAGUAUAUGCAGCCGGUGGCCAAGUGAUGCAUUCAAUGGGACUGGUUAAGGACAUUCCAGUGAUGAUCCAGGAAAGGGUAAUGUGUAACAUCCCCAUCCCGCAGUCUGAACUGGAUCAGACCAAGGCCGGACUGAUCAGACGGGACAGACAUGUUGGACAUGUCAUCUGGAUAGUACUGGUCCGGUUAAGAUGAUAAUGUCUGUCCGAACAUAGCAGAUGAGCUAGUCGGACUAAGCUGGACGGAUUCAGACAAGGCAGCUGGACUUGUCAUC